rnacentral:SRP_RNA from 2 species
GCCGGGCGUGGUGGCGCGCGUCUGUAAUCCCAGCUACUCAGGAGGCUGAGACAGGAGAAUCGCUUGAACCCGGGAGGCAGAGGUAGCAGUGAGCCGAGAUCGUGUCACUGCACUCCUGCCUGGGUGACAGAGCGAGACUCAGUCUCAA